rnacentral:misc_RNA from 1 species
CAAGGCACGUGCAAUCCGUUUUGCCAAAACUGCAAGGACUUUCCAUACGCGUGUAGCAACGUGUCUUUGCCGAAGUUGCAUCUGCGAUGCUCCUGUAACCCUCCAUAGCGGUGGACAUCUCGGCGUUCCGCCGUGGCUUUUCGCAAGAGGAGGAAGAUAUGUGAAUGGUUCGAGAUGACGUGAUCGACGUGCGUGUGUGAACAUGUGCGAAGGAAGAUGCUGAAGGGGCGGUUUUCCACCCAAGUGGGCACAGUGGCACCUUUGUUGGCGUCGUGUCCUGAUGAUCUUUUGACAACUUGGU